GCAAAAGCAACUUCAUUACUUUGUAAUUUUGAUUCCGAAGUGAAUAUCUUUUCAGUUGAAGAUUAUGGAAACUACCUGCGCAGGUUUUUAGGCUAAUUUCAGUUGAAUAUCAUUUAUAAUUCUUAUUUUAAUAUAUUUAUGAUUAAUUUUUCUGUUAUGAAAUUUUUAGGUAAUAACAAUUGGUCGGAGAUUAUCAUCCUACUACUAUUUCCUCUUCUCAGUACUACUGAUGAUGACAAUGUGAAUGACAAUCUUGAUCUUCUUGCUGUCCCUCAAUAUGGGAGAAACCCUAACUACACUGGUUAAUUACAUUAUUAUUCUUUUGUGUUAUGCUUAAUUGAAUAAAGUGAUGGGUACUUUUGCCUAUGGUUCUGUCAAUUAUGUGACUGUCGGUUUGGUUCAAUGCAACUGAUAAAAUCUCUUGAGAUAUAUAAGAGAUUUUAUUUGUUUAUUUACGUGUAUCGUGUAUUCCUGAAAAAGGAAAUAAAUAAAUAAAUAUUGUUGCUUGUCUAUGUGUUAACAUUAAUUAAGUUUGUCUAUCCUUGUUAGCUUAAUUAAGCUUUCUCUUCUUGAUUAUCUUUUACUAAAACAAACUCCAAAUAAUGGUUAACUAAUUCUUGGAGCUAGCAAGUGAUCUUGGAUCAUAAUUUAUUAAAAUACACAAUGCAUGUAAAUUUAUAAUUUCAACCUUUAAAAUAGUCAUGCCGUUUAGUACGCUUGGGCUAAUCAACAUAAUCUUCAGCCAUAAUCACUAUUAAUUUGUUAAUUAUUUUGUUAAAUAAUGCGAAGUUACAAAAUUUUGUCUCUGAAUGUGGAGUUAAAAACCUUUCGUUAUAUAUAUGAUCCCAUCAUCUUACCAUUAUUUGUAAAUAAUUACGUAGAGCAUCUAUUAAUUAAUGGAUUGAAACAAUAAAUAACUUCAAUUUAAGAAUAAAAACCUCAAUUUUAAACUGUCAAUGCCCGGAAAUUAAAGAAAUAUAUUUAUUGAGUCAAGAUUAUAUAUCUUCAAUUUUCUUUUAAUUUACAAAAUAUUUUAGGCACUGAAAAAUGUUUCAGAAAAAUAACAAAAUUUCCAAAUUAAAACAAUAAUAUUUUGAAAGAAAAGAGUCUAUUUUUGCUAUUAUAUUAUCUUGUAAUUACUUACUCCCCAAUCACCCACCUUCGCACUCUCGGUUACUUAAUUCUUUACAUAUACAUUACAUGAAUAUUAAUCAAACCAGAAGCAGUAAGUCGAAAAAGCAACUUUAAUUACUUAGAAAUUUUGAUUCCGCAAGCUGAUAUCUUUUCUGAUUUGAAGAUUAUGGAAAGAUUAUGAUUUUCUCCUUAUGUGAGCUCUCUUGAGCUUUAAUAAUCUUAUAUUAUAUGUCAUUUAAUAAUAGUGGAUGGAUAUGAUUUAACUUCUUUUUUAUUUAUUUAUUAAUCAUCAAUCAGUGCAUGAAUUUCUAGUUAGGAGAAGUUCAGGGAGAGGAUCAACUUUAGUUGAACUUUAUUAUAUAAUCCUUAUUUUAAUAUGUAUUUAUGAUUAAGUUUUCUACUAUGAAUUUUUCACGUAUAAUGAUUGGUGGAAGAGGACCUUCCAAAUAUUUCCUUGUCUCAAUACUGUUGAUAAUGACAUUUGCUAAUGACAAUCUUGAUAUUCUUAUUAUCCAUCAAUAUACGAGAAAUCCUGCCAUACAGGUUAAUUACAAUGUUACUCUUUUUAUGUUAUGUUUAAUUAAAUAAAAGGGAGAUUGCCAAAUUUUGCCCUUACUAAAAUAAAUUUAUACCGCUUACGCUACUACUGUUUCAUAAUAGUCAAUAAUCCUCAUGGCAAUAUAAUUUUACUAUAUUACCCUUAUUUACAAAUACACUUCUAUUUAUACUUGUUAUAAAUUAAAUAAAUCUUGUCAAUAUAAAUUAAAUAAAAAAAUUUGAAUAUUAAAAAUAAGAAAUAUAUGUUUUGAAGUAAAUAAAAUUUUAAUAUAAGAUAUUUUUCUUAUACUUUUUGUUGUUUUAUAUAUUUGUUGUAAAAUAUAUACUUGUUAUAAGAUUUUUUUUGCAUAAAAUAAUACAAGAAAAAUAUCGUAUCAUAUAUGUUUCUUAUUUUUAAUAUUUAAAAUUUUUAUUUUAAUUUUUAUUUUAAUUUCUAUUUAUAUGAGUUAUUUAAUUUAUAAAAAAUAUAAAUAAAAAUGUAUUUGAAAAUGAGGGUAAUACUGUAACUUGGCCGUACAGCAGAUUUAAUUUAUAAAAAAUAUAAAUAAAAAUGUAUUUGAAAAUGAGGGUAAUACUGUAAAAUUAUACUGCGAGUAAAUAGUAUAUAUUAAUUUUAAUUGGGGAGAAAUUGACAACCUCCCCGCAUCUCAUUGAUACAAUAAUUUGUAAUAAAUUAAAGGAUAAUUGAAGAUAACACAUAGUUAAAAUGACUCGACAUUUACAUUUCCUUUAAUUUGUUGGGAAUAAUAGUUUAUCGCCCAUGACUAUUAUAUUUGCAUAAAACAGAUUAAUUGUCCAUGUCUGAAGAUCAUGGACAGCUAGCACAUAUCAUGCAUCAUUCAAGAUCAGCAUCAAAAUCAACAAGAUUACAAUCAUAAAUUAAGAUGCUACUUAAUUCAUUCAUUCAGGUUUAAUAUCCUUUUAUAUUAAUUAUUAAGCAAAUAGUCAAAUAAAAUCUCUUUCAAUAUCGCUUCACGUGAUUCUCUCGUAUUAGGUGUUGUAAUCCAAAGUCAAUAUCAUAUUAUUUUUCGUUACCAAGUUUCGUAUUUGUGACAUUGCGAUACUUCCCACGGAACCAAAUUCAGCUUUAAAAAUUGGAUUAAUUUGGAUCAAACUAAGCUACAAAGAAAAAAAAAAUUGAUUAAUUUAGUUACUCCGUUCCUAAUAAUAUGUGGAGAAGAAGAUUUAGUUGGUCGCCAAGACGAUGAAAUGCUCGAAUUUGAUUAAUGAAGGAGGAUUCGAGAACUCCAAAGAGGAAGAUCUCAAAAAAACAGAAAUCUGCAGCAAAGUGGACGAUGUUAAAUUAAGGAGUAAGAGUGUUCUUUGUAUGGGCCAUCACGCAGUAGAAGACAGUAUUGGCAAGAGUAAAUGUAAUCCAUAGAUUUCAAUUUUCUUAUAGCUCCAAAUGAGAUAACUGAUUUCAUGUAUGAAAUAAAUGCCAUUGGUGGACACUGCUUUAAUGCUUUUUAUGAAACAACUGCUGAAAAAUUCAAACAAAAAUUAAGGAUAAAACUGUAAUUACAGGCAAAAAAUAUAAAAUGGGGGUGUUAUUAAAAAAAAAUAAUGUGGGGUUUGGAGCCAUUAAAUUAUUCAUUAUUAAACCUAUUUACUGAAUAAACUCACUACUGAAAUUUAAACUUUUUAAUUUUUACUUUAUGAGCCUACCUAUAUACCCAAUACAUUCUUAUCAAACACAAAUUAUUAUUAAAUCAAAUUUAAGUGAACCCACCAUUUCGGUCUCUUCUUCUUCAUCAUUUUUCUUCUCUUGUACUUUGCAUUCUUUCAUUCAGUCAUGAAUGGCUUAAAGAGAGAGUAAUGAGAUCAGCCACCGUCAAACCCAGAUUGUAGAGCUCGCUGACGUAUGGAUAACGACUUUACCGAACUCAGCUAAACUCCUAUCGCAUGACUGCCGCGUGCAUCAAUUAAGUAAAAUGCCAAACGACUCAAAACGAGUACCAUUUUGAUGCUAACAAUUUACAACUGAAUCAUGUACUGUGUCUCGUGAUUUUUAGCUACCAAAGCCACCUCAAAACACUGCUGUUUUAUUCUACUGAGUUUGAUUCACCAGUAACCUUCACAAUUCUCCAUCUUAAAUUAACACUGCUCAUUCAUGCUCCUUCUCCAACAUCAAGUAAUUUCAUAAGUUACUUAAACCGGCUAGUCCAGGGCAGGCAUAACUUGAACUUAGCAACCGGAACAACUUUGGUAAGCAUGUCUGUAGGGUAUGUAUUUUUACCAUUUUUACAGCAGCCUCCGAGAUUUCAUUCCUUAUAAAGUGUAGCUUGAUAUCUAUAUGUUUAGAUUCUCACGAUGUGCUGGAUUCUUGCACAAAUGUAUAGCACUAGAGCUAUCACAAAAAAUAAGUACUGACUUCUGUAUAUCCACAACUCAUUUACCAGCCCUUUCUGCUGUACGGCCAAGGCGGAUGUACGGUACAGCAGUUUACCUAUUGAAAAACCGUUAUCCAACAAGAAAUUUUUAAGCCUAUCAUGCCAUGCUCUAGGUGCUUACUUUAAUCCAUACAAUGCAUUUGACAACUUGUAAACAUGAUUUGAAAUUUUUCAUUUUCAAAAUUAAGGGAUUGUUUCACAUACACUUCUUCCAUAAUAUAACCAUUUAAGAAAGCACUCUUAACAUCCAUUUGAAAUAAAAUGAAAUCCUUAUGACAUGCAAAUGCUAAGAGCAUCCUAAUGGAUUCUAGUCUAGCUACAAGUGCACAGAAAUAGCAAACUAGUCCUCCUGUUCUUUUUAAUUUCCAUGCCCAAUAUCUUUUUUAGCUUGGCCCAAAUCCUUCAUGUCAAAUUCUGGAUUGAGCAGGAACUUUAAAUUCUCAAUAACCUCUCUGUCUUUACUUGCUAAUAACAUGUCGCCAACAUAUAAUAACAAGUAAACAUAAAAACUACCUUUCAUUACUUUAAAGUAAACACAACAGUCAUAAUUACAUUUUUUGAGCCCAUUUGACACCAUGAACUCAUCGAACCUUAGGUACCAUUGCCUUGGGAAUUGUUUUAAGCAAUUUAAUGAUUUCUUUAAUAAGCAAACAUGAUCUUUCUAUUCAAAGUCUUUGUACCUUUCAGGUUGGGACAUAAGUAUUUCUUCUUGAAGUUUACCAUGUAAGAAGGCAGUCCUGACAUCAAGUUGAUCCAGCUCCAUGUCUUGAACUGCUAUUAAGGGCAAAAUCACCCUUAUAGAUGCAUGUUUGACCACAAGAGAAAAUACUUCCUUAAAAUCAACCCCUUCCUUUUGUGCAUACCCUUUUGCCAGUAACCUUGCCUUGAAUCUCUUAGGUUCAGAUCCAGUCAAGCCUUCUUUCACUUUGAAGAUCCAUUUACAUCCAACCACUCUUUUGUUUGCAGACCUCUUAACCAAUUCCAAAGUUUCAUUCUUAUACAGAAAGUUUAUUUCUUCCUCCAUAACUUUCUGUCAUUUAUUCUUAAAAGGACUUUGUACAACUUUUUUAAAGGUCUUAGGUUCUUCAUCAUUCACUACACGAAUUAUAUUCUUUCGCGACCAUAUUUUCUGUGACGAUAUAAUUUUUGUCACAGAAUGUCACUUUAUACGACCAUAGGCGAUCUCAUCGCUAAAUGUCUUGUUUUUCUAUGACCAAAAUUAAUUUCAUCACAAAACCUCACUUUUGGCGACCAAACAUAGUUUUCGUAGCAAAAACAUGUGCCAAUUAUAUUUAUUUUUAAUUUAUUUGCAACCAAACACAUUUUCAUUGCAAAUUCUAUACUUUCAGUGACCACUUCAAGAUAUCGUCGCAAAAACAAAAGUGAUAAAAUUAAUUUGUAACUUCGUUUUUGGGACAAAACCAAAUUUUCGUCUCAAAAUAUCUACUUUUUGUGACCCCUUUCAAGUUGUCGCAAAAAGUCAAAAGAUUUUGGCGGGUUAUCUACCGCCAACCAAAUCAUAAAAAGAUAUUUAUAAUACUUUUUGUGACCAAUUAUUACUUGGUCGCUAAAAAUAAAAUAUUUUUGCGGAAAUUGAACCGCCUUACACAAUUAAACUCAAUUUGAACAAGUUUUUGUGACCAAAUUUAAACGUGGUCGCAAAAGGGUAGCAUGUUAUAUAUAUUUGUAUUAUUUUUCUCUCUUUCAAGGUAUGUCGAGGAAAAGUAUUAGCGACCACUUUAUAAGUUGGUCGCAGAAAAUAACUUUUCGCGAUGAAAAAAAUGGUCACAAAAUAUAAUUUCACUUUGUCUCCGUUACUUUUUUACAACCAAUUAUUUCAUCACAGAUUUAGAAUAUUUGCGACCAUACUCAAACUGGUCACAAAAAAUUUAAAUAUAAUAUUAUUUUUUAAAUUUUUUGUGACCAGUUUGAGUAUGGUCGCAAAUAUUCUAAAUCUGUGAUGAAAUAAUUGGUUGUAAAAAAGUAACGGAGACAAAGUGAAAUUAUAUUUUGUGACCAUUUUUUUCAUCGCGAAAAGUUAUUUUCUGCGACCAACUUAUAAAGUGGUCGCUAAUACUUUUCCUCGACAUACCUAAUGUGACCAACUUGCGACCAUAAUGUUUUUAUCGUAAAUUAUUUUUUGUGACGAAUUUGAUAUUUUCUGCGAUGAAUUUAUUGGUCACAGAUGACCAUAAUUCUAGUAGUGAUUAACAUCAUGUGCAGCAACUAAAGCAAAAGAAAUUAGAUUUGCAUUACCAAACCUCUUAUGUGGCUUUAUAUGUCUAUUCUUCCUAUCCCUGGUAAGUUUAUAAGUUUAUUCCUAAGGACAUAAUUCUAAUUGAAUUUUUUGUUGAGAUUCCUGAGUUCUAUCUGAAUUGAUACCACUAUCUUCAGAAUCUGCCGCUUCUUCAAUGUUCCUAUGAUUAGGUGGCUCCACUUCAAACUCUAAUAUUUCAAAAGGCUUUAUAUUAUUGUUUGUUACUUCAACAGGCUGCUUUUAGACUGCCAUUUCACUUCCAUUAAAGAUGAUAUCCCUGCUGAUUGUCCACUACUUAGGAGGAUUUAGAUUAGUGCACUAUAUUUUAUAUCUUUUCACCCCUUUCGGAUAACCUAUUAACACCCCUUUUAAUGCUCUUGGCGUAAGCUUUCCUUGAUUUACUUCAACAUAUGCUCUAAGUUUUUCAUACUUACUGGCUUACCAGCCUACCUCUCAAAAGGUAUCUGAAAGCUUAUAGUUGAUGAGACACUUAGAUUCACUGGAUAGGUUGCUAUCAUCAAUAUCUCUUAUGCAUAUUGACUUUGAUAGCUUAAAUUGAAUGAGCAUACAUCUUAUCCUCUCCGUAAGUGUCUUAUUCAUCCUUCUAGCCAGCCAAUUUUUUUUAGGUGUCAGUCUCACUGUUCUGUGUCUAGCUAUCCCCUAAUUUGCACAAUAGCUCUAAAACUACUGAUUAGAAAACUCUAAGUUAUUAUCUAUCCUGAACUUCUUAACCUUCUUUCUUACUUGAUUUUCAACCAGACUUUUCUAUUCCUUGAAUUUUUCAAACACUUGAUCCUUAUUUUUCAAAACAUAAGUCUAGACUUUCCUUGAAAAGUUAUUAGUGAAGUUCACAAAGUAUUUGUUUCAACCGACGGAUAGAUCUUAAGCUGGUCUUCAAAGGUCAGGGUGUAUAUAGUCUAGAAUAUUAUUUGACUUUUAAACGGAUCUAUUAAAGCUAGCUCUUUUAGAUUUCCCUAACACUUAGCCUUUACAGAAACCUAUACUUUCAAUCUUGUCCCCACCUAAUACACACUAUCUUUCAAGUUCUUUGAGAUCCCUUUCAUUCAUAUGUCCUAGCCUAAGAUGCUAUAGUUUGGUUUUAUCAAUAUUACUAUCAAUAGAGAUUCUAGAUUCACUAACUAUUACUUCACUAUCCAGAACAUAUACACUAUUCUUCCUAGUACCUUUCAUUUUAAUUUUAGAGCCAUUCAUUACCCUUAGGUUAUAUGAUUUAAGCAUCUUGCUCUAGCCUAUUUGGUCAAACAAUCCCAAGGAAAUCAAAUUUCUUUUCAAAUUAGAUACAUGCCUGACAUAUUUAAUCUCCAACAUGGUCUUAUCAUGCAUCAUAAGCCUUACAUUUCCUAUAUCGAUGACUCUGCACAUGGCAUUGUUUCCCAUCAUUACUUUACCUUAGGGUUUUCUAGGUAUUUUGCAAUAUAUAAAAAUAGUGACAACAUACUUAAGCCUUAAGUUGCUUCAUGUAUGGUCACAUAAAUGCUUUUCAUCAUGAUCCAUAGACCAUAAUCCACUAAUAUUGUUCUCUAUUGUUUGUUCUCAAUUUUCGCUAAGUCUUUUUGCUAGUUGAUCAACCAAACAAGUUUGCAACAUUGAGUCACUUUUGCUUUUUUUAAUUCUUUAGGCUACAUUUAAUAUGCUGAUUAAAUUACACAAACUAUUAAUAUUAGACUGGAUUAUAUUAAAUUACAUUAGCCUCAUUAUAUAUAUAUAUAUAUAUAGUAGUUUUCCAAUAAGGAAUCUCUGACUUUAGUAAAGUCAAAGAUUAGCUAAAAGAUAAAAAAAAAUUAAUUUUAAUAUACUACAUGACAAAUACAGUGCAUUGGAGUCUGUGUUUAUUUUAUCUUUUAGCUAAUCCCUGACUUUAAUAAAGUCAGGGAUCCCUGAUUGGAAAAUUACUAUAUAUAUAGUUAUUCUCUAUUGAGAGCAUCCUGCACACUAAAAUACAAAAAAAAUAUAAAUUUUAUUACAUUGGAAAUUGUGUUUUAUUGUCUGUUAAUAACAUUCUCACUUUGUUAAAAUGAGGAGAUCCUCACCAGAGAAUUAUUAUUAGUAUUAUUAUUAUUAUUAUUAUGUGUGUGAGUGCAUGUCUAUGCAGUCUUUCUGAGAUGUGGUUGCUCUCAUUUGUUUUCAUGCGGACACGCUACUCUCUAAAGCAAUCAAUGAAAGGACUCAUAUGAAAGGUGCAUCCUAAAUCCAAGAUCCAUUUACCUUUUUCGUUGUUAUUUGUUGCUAUACAUACACUUACUGACUCAUAUACUUCCUCUUCCACUAUAAUUGUAUCUCCACUUUGAUUCUUUAAAUCUUUAUGCUUAAUCUUCCUCUCAAGACAAUCUUUCUUGAAAUAGCCUUUCUUCUGACAUUGAAAGCACUUCUAGGUCUUAGAUUUGUUCUUAUGUUUCCCUUAUUUCCUUUUUUUUCAUCCUUAUUAUCAUAUCUACCCCUCAGUACCGUUCUCUAUAACAUCUUGUUUUCCUUGUAACUCCCUAGUGUUAAGAGAAACCUUAACUUAAGAGCAACCUUAACUUAAUCAAGAGUCAAGGUUUGUCUUCCAUACAUCAAAGCAUUAACAAAGUUUUCAUAUGACGUAGGCAAGGAACUAACUAAAAGAAGAGCUUUACCCUCAUCAUCUAAUCCUUCAUUAAUUAUUUCCAAGGUAUAAUAUACCUAAUUGAAUUCAACUAUGUGUUGUUCAGGAGAUAAGCCCUCAACCAUUCUUGGAGUAAACAUCCUUUUUUGAUGUAGAGUCUAUUUGCCAAGGUUUAGUCAUGUAAAGACUUUCAAAUUUGCCCAUAAGCCUACAACAAUCUUCUCCUUAGCCACCUGUCUAAUGAUAGAAUCACCAAAAGUCUUCCUUGAAUCAUCAUUAAAUAUAUUAAAAGCACUUGUUUGUCUUGCUCUUCUGGACUGUGAAGGUUAUUGGUGAAUUAAUCAAACUCAGUUAAGCCCCUCAACCAUUCUUGGGGUAAACAUCCUUUUUUUGAUGUAGAGUCUAUUUGCCAAGGUUUAGUCAUGGAAAGACUUUCAAAUUUUCCCAUAAGCCUACAACAGUGUUCUCCUUAGCCACCUGUCUAAUGAUAGAAUCACCAACAGUCUUCCUUGAAUCAUCAUUAAAUAUAUUAAAAGCACUUGUUUUUCUUGUUCUUCUGGACUGUGAAGGUUAUUGGUGAAUCAAACUCAGCAGAAUAAAACGACAACAUUUUGAGGUGUCUUUGGUAGUUAAAAAUUAUGAGGCACGAGAUGUGAUUAACUUAUAAAAUGUUAACAUAAAAAUGACACUUGUUUUAAGUCAUUUUGGCUAUAUUGAUGCAUGUGACGGUCAUGUGAGAGUACUUUAGCUGAAUUUAAUAAAACCAUUAUGCACGUAUCCAAGAGCUGUGUAAUGUGGAUUUGCUGAUUUGCUACUGAUGCAAUUAUAAGGCUGGUUAACGAAGCAGCUAGUGAUCAUCAUUGUUAGCAAAAUAGAGAGAGAUAGAAGAGAGAGAAAGUUCUAGCUUGUUUUAUGUAAUCUCUUGUAAUUUCUUUGAAAAAGAUUCUCCAUUGAUCGUCAAUAAAAGAUCACCAAAAAACUUCUCCCGUGGAUGUAGGUUGUGCCAAUCUUCGUACAGCUGAACCAUGUAAGUUCAAAUCACUCAUUGGUUUUUGUUUGUCACACUUGUUCUAUUUGGCUUCAAUACCAUAAUUAAACAUAAAUUAUGUAAAUGAAACUUAAAACUCGUAAAUUUGACAUAAAACAUCAAUUUUAGAAAUUAAAUAUGAGACUUGUAAAUAAAAGAUAAAACGAGUAAAUUAAUAUAAAACUAGUAAAUUGAUGUAUUAUUAGUAAACAAAACAAAAACUUACAAAUAUAACAUAAAAUAGUAAAUCAACAUUAACUGUAAAAUAAAAUAUAAAUUUUAGAAAUGAAAUAAAAGACUUGUAAAUAGAAGGUAAAACAAAUAAAUUAGUAUAAAAAUGGUAAAUUGAUGUAUUACUAGUAAAUAAAACAAAAACUUACAAAUAUAACAUUAAAGUAGCAAAUCAACAUUAAGCACAAAACAAGACAUAAAUUUUGAAAAUGGAACAUAAGACUUGUAAAUAGAAGGUAAAACAAGUAAACUAAAAUAAAACAAGUAAAUUAAUGUAUUACUGGUAAGCAAAAUAAAAAUUGCAAAUGUAACAUAAAACUAGUAAAUCAACACUAUAUGUAAAAUAAAACAUAAAGUUUGAAAAUGGAAGUAUGGAACAUGAGACUUGUAAGAGGAAGAUAAAACAAGUAAACUAUGAUAAAACUAAUAAAUCGAUGUAUUACAAAAUAAAGUGAAAUUUACAAAUAUAACAUAAAACUAGUAAAACAUAAGUACAAAAUAAAACAUAAAUUUUCUAGAUUAUGCCUAAAACUUAUGAAUAAAAGGUAAAAUAAAUUAAUUAAUAUAAGAGUGACUGAAAAAAAAAUCACAAUUGUAAAUAAAAACUCAUUAUAAUGUUUAUUAACUUAUAUAUUUAUUGAUUUUUUUAAUUGAAUAAUGCUAGCUUUGCAUUUGUGUAAUACAUGUGAUGUUUUAUUAAAGAUAAAAUUUAUUCUCAAAAUCGGAUUUUGAAAAAAAUAUUAUUUUAAUAUCUUUCAUAGUUGUUGUAAGAUGAGUUUAUUUUGCUUCUUUCUACACUUCCUCAACAACAAUCCUAAAUGGUCUCUAAGUACAAACAAAAAGUUUAAAACCACAUGAAGUAUGCAUAAAACUCAAAAUUAUAUCUAAUUUCAUUAAUAUAUCAUAUAUGUGUAUAGUAAUAUAAGAAUAUUUUUUUUUAUUAUGUUUUUGCUUGAUCCACAUCAAAAUAAAUAAUUGCGCUUAAUUAACUUGUGUCAUAAAUAUAUAUUAUUAUAGAAAAUGAGAAAAAAAAAGUAAACAAAUGUCCUAGAAUAAAUAUAGAAUUUUAUGGUUAAACCAAUUUAUUCCUCAACAACAAUCCUAAAUGGUCUCUAAGCACAAAUAAAAAGUUUAAAACCACAUGAAGUAUGCAUAAAACUCAGAAUUAGAUCUAAUUUUAUUGAUAUAUCAUAUAUGUGUCUAGUAAUAUAAGAAUAUUUUUUUUAUUAUGUUUUUGCUUGAUCCACAUCAAAAUAAAUAAUUGCGCUUAAUUAACUUGUGUCAUAAAUAUAUAUUAUUAUAGAAAAUGAGAAAAAAAAAGUAAACAAAUGUCCUAGAAUAAAUAUAGAAUUUUAUGGUUAAACCAAUUUAAUAAAACUUAUUCUACUUUGUUUAGUACAAUUUCUUUGUUUAAUUAAUGAGUAUUUUUUUCUGUGUUUAAUUAAAUGAAAGUAUUUUUGUAAAUAAAUAAAAUAUUUUUCACUAGAAUUAUGUAGACAAAGUGAUAAUUUUUUAAAUAAUUAAUAAUCUUGUAUGAAUUUAUUGGUUUUACUUUAAAUUUAGUAGUUCUAUGCGUAAUUUAAAAUAUUUAUGUUUAUCACGGUAUUGAUGCUAUAAUCUUCAUUACAUAAUUAUAGAAUUUUCCCUUUUGAUCCAUAGUUUUUAUUUUAUUUUAUUCUUUAACUUAUAUCUUGCUUUGUGUUUUGUUUCAUCUUCUCAUGAAUUGUUUCACUUCCAAACUAUUGACAAUAUUUUCAUGCGUUAGUAAUAGAAUUCUAGUAAAAUCAGCUAACUUGAAGCUGAAGAACUUCUUGUUUUAUUGAAACACAUAUGCAAUGAUCGAUCUUCAAGUGUACUAAUGGGAAAAAACUUUUUCAACAAAAAUCAUUGAUUUUUAUUCAAGCCAAUAUUAAUUGAUCCACAGUUCCACAAACAACUAAAAUUAUAGAUCAGUAAUGGCUGCUUAAGCUUACAUAAUAUUUGUGAUUUACUAGUUACAUCCAAUCCUAUUCCAAGGGUCAAAAAAUAGUGAAAGAAUAAGUGUAAUUUUAAGGAGCCACUGAUCCUUUCCCUGCAUAUAUAUAUAUGCAUACAUCCAUACACACAUAUGGACAUAUAUAUGUGUGUGUGUAUACAUAUAUGUAUAUAUGUAUGUAUGUAGUAGUUUUUUUGUCUGAAAUUUUAAAGUAUCGGAAAGUUCAGGAAAAUUUUAAAACCAUUAGGUUUAAUAACAUUAUGAAAUAAAACUUUAAAACUGCACGGUUUUUAUUGUUUCUCAGACUUUCCCACACUUUAAGACCCUGAAUUGGAAAAUUUUCCAAUCUACAUAUAUAUUACGACACGUAAUACUAGAAUAACUUAAAACUUUUAUUGUCCGCAAAUCAAGGGAAUAUAUAUGUCGGGUCAAAGACUAUAUUGUAUAUAUUAAUUUACAAAUUACUGUAGCCAUUGAUAAGGACAAGUCGCAAGCAACAAAUAUGGUAGUUUGUACAGCCAUAGCAAAAGGAUUUCCAACAUCUCGUCUAAGCCAUAAUUGAUGCAAAAUAUAGCAGCAUAUGUCAUGGUGGAUUCAUCACAACGACUAGUUGAUUAUUAUAAUUAUUGUAAAUAUUAUCUUUCCUUUUACAGAAUCUUAAACGUCUUUAUAUAUUUGUAAACUUCAAGCAAUUGAAUUAAGAGACAACAACAAUUACUAUUUUCACCAUAUUCAAGCAUCUCAAUUAAGGCUAAAUCACCAUAUAGUUGAUGUUAAGACUCCACCGAAGAUGAUAGAGCAAGAGGGGAAGGAGAUAAAUAAUCUAGAUUUUCUCAUGUGGAAAAAUAAUGAUGGACUUCUCACAACUUGGCUUAGAAGUAUGAUGAAUGAAGACGUGUUGAGCAUGGUUAUCGGCUUGCAGACGGCUCAGGAAAUCUGGCUUACUAUUGAAGAGAACAUGCUGCCUGCAGCUAAGGAGUAAGAAACAUGGCUAAAAGAUAGCCUUUAUUCUCUAAAGAAAGGAUCUUCCAAGCUUGAUGAAUUUCUUAAGAAAUUCAAGGGCCUCAGCGCAAGUUGGCAGCCAUUGGAAAACCAAUGAACGAUGAUGACAAAAUUUUUCAAAUUACAAGAGCCUUAGGUCCCAAAUAUGCUGACUUCAAAACUACAAUGCUCAAUAAACCUCCAUAUCCCAGCCUUAAACAAUUCACCAAUGCUCUCCAAAACCAUGAACAUACUGUGAUCGUAGAAAAAGAUGAAGAAGUUAGACUUUGCACAAAUCAAAACCAAGCCUUCUUUGGUCAACGUGGAAGAGGCAGAAAUCAAAGCGGUGGAAGACCUCCAUACCAGGGCAGAGGAUCUCAACGCAACUCAGGUGGUAGAAAUUACCCCAACAACUACAACAAUUACAAUGGCAACAACUGUUAACCACAACAGCAGCCUCAAAAACCAAAUAAAGAAAACAGUACCUCAGAUGAAGAAGUUAUUGUUUGCAAAAUAUGUCAUAAACGCAAACAUAGUGCUGCUGAAUGUUGGAACAGAUACGACUAUAACAAUGAAGAGGAUCCACAGGCCCUAGCUGCCAUGAAUCUUCAAGAAAAUAAUGAUCAAUAGUUCUAUGUGGAUUCUGGAGCAACAUCACACAUGACAAAUAACAUAGGUAAUCUUGAUCAUGUAAGUCCGUAUAGAGGUAAUGACAAAAUAAUUGUCAGCAAUGGUCAAGAUUUGAAUAUUUCACAUAUUGGUUCUACUUCUUUAAAUACAAAUCACGGUUCUUUACACUUAAAUAAUAUUUUAGUUGUUCCAAAACUGAAAAAGAAUCUCUUAUCAGUUGGACAACUCAUUGACGAUAUUAAAUGUGUUUUUGAAUUUAACACUGAUGGUUUUAUUGUGAAGAGCAAGGAAAACAAGGUUCUAGCAAAGGGGAGUAAGCAAGGGAAGCUAUACACAUUUGAAGGAGACCUUCAUGCUACCUUCAACGCAAUUCAAGGAGAAUCUAGCGGUUUUAGUUGCCAAGGGAUUCACACAGGUUCCUGGAGUCGACUUCGAUGAAACCUUCAGUCUCGUUAUAAAGACCACAAAUAUUCGCCUUAUCCUCGCAAUUGAUGUGAGCUCAAAAUGGCUUAUCAAGCAGCUGGAUGUUCGCAACGCUUUUCUUCAUGGACUAUUAAAGGAGACUGUCUACAUGGAGCAGCCUCCUGGGUUUUGUAAUUCACAUCAUCCAUCAUAUGUUUGUAAACUUCAAAAAUCGCUCUAUGGCCUAAAAUAGGCACCUAUGUGUGGUUCGAGUGUCUUUCUCAAGCCUUAAUUUCUCUUGGAUUUUCUAGUAGCAAAGCUGAUAUCUCUUUCUUUAUAUUUAAUAACAAAUCUAUUCUUAUACUUAGAUUAAUUUAUGUUGAUGAUGUGAUAAUUACAGGAAAUAAUGAGAAGGAAAUUCAAUCAACCAUCAACAAUCUCAGCUCAAAGUUUGCUUUAAAAGAUCUUGGCAACCUACAUUACUUCCUAGGCAUUGAAGUUCAAUAAUUCACACAUGGCAUCUUUCUAUCUCAAGCAAAGUACACUAAAGACCUUCUUUCCAAGGCAUGAAUGCAGGAUUGAUAAUGACGAACCUAUGGAUGUUACUGAAUAUAGAGGCCUUGUUGGAAGCCUUCAAUAACUCACCUGCACAAGGCCCGAUAUCACAUUCGCUGUCAAUCGAGUCUAUCAACACUUCCAAGCACCAACAAAGCCAAUCUCAAAGAAGUGAAAAGGAUCCUUCGUUACCUUAAAGGUACCCUUGACUUUGGCCUUAGAUUUUUGUCUCAAAGCUCUCUCAAGCUCUAUGCCUUUUCGGAUUCCGAUUGGGCUGGAUGUCCGAUAACAAGACGAAGUACAAUAGGAUUCUGCAUUUAUCUUGGAAGCAAUUGUAUCUCUUGGAGCUCGAAGAAACAACACAGUCUCUCGCUCAAGCGUCGAAGCCGAAUAUAGGUCCAUGGCCUUUGCCACUGCCGAGUUAACAUGGCUCACAUAUCUACUUAACGACAUUGGGUUAUGUGUUCCGAAAGCACCCACACUUCUCUUUGAAAAUAUGAGUGUAGUCCAUAUGACUAAGAAAACAGUGUUUCAUGCUAGAGUGAAACAAAUUGAGCUUGACGUGCAUUUUUUUCGUGAAAAGGUUGCUAAAGGGUCAUCAUUUACACGAUAUAUGCCUUCUCAUCUUCAGAUUGCAGACACUCUUGUAAAACCUCUGGGGAAGCAUCAAUUUCUUACGCUGUGAACCAAGCUAAGCGUUCAUCGCAUGUGACUGCCUAGCUUGAGGGGGGCUGAUAAGGACAAGUCACAAGCAACAAAUAUGUUCUUCAAGAGGGGUUAGGAAGUUCAUCUUUUACCAUUACAGUGGUCUUGGCUUGCAUUGUAUGUUCUUUUCUAACUUUAUUGGUUGUCUCUUAUGGACACGUGUGUAGUGGGGUGUGUGUGUGUGAGUGAGUGAGUGUAUAUAUGAUCAUCAAUUUCAAUAAAACAUGCAUGAUAUAUGAUAGUUUUUCGGCUUAUUGAAUAAUUACUUCUUAGUCUUGACUUCCUUUCCCUAUUUGUUGUUCCUUUUUCUUCUCAUGAAAAUAUACACAUUAUCGUAGAUUCCUCUGCCAUGUGUAGACUAAGACAACCCAACACGAGGUUAAAACAUUAACUUGUGAUUUUUAUUUAUGAAUAUAGUGAUAUUUUUGGUAAAAAGGUAUUAAGAUUAAUGAUAUAAGGCCUUUGUUUGUAAAGUCUAGGUUUGUGAGUUCAAACGGGGUGGAACUAUAUGAAUUAGAGAUUGCCUUAGAAAGAUAAAGAAUAUGCAGAGCUUUAAGAGGUAUAUCUUUUAAUUGCCUUGAACUCUAUAUUUAUUGUGAAUAUUCUAGAUUAGUAGCUCCAUCAAUAUAAUGGCUUAAGGUAGCAUUUACUUUUUGGAUUGGAUUGGGAAUCCUGGGGAGUGGGAAUCCUAGGAUUGGGAGUGUGGAGUGGGAGUGAGAGUAUGUUGUUUACUUACACUGGAAUGGAAGCAUGGAAUGGAGAUCAGAAUCCAAUUUAUGUGUUUACUUUGUCUUGGAUUGGGAGUAAAUAGUUUCAAAUUACAAUUUUAUCCUUAUUUAAAGAAUUAUAAUUUUUAAUUACAAAACUAAUAAAAAAUAUAUUUAAUGAAUAAUAUUUAUUUUAUUAUAUUUGUAAAUUUAUUAUAAUUAUUAAUAUUCUUAAUUAUGAACAAUAAAUUAUUAAUUGUAAUUUUAAUAUAAAAUGAAAUGUUAUUUUAUUUUAUUUAAUAUAAUUAUAUUAAAUUUAUUAUUAUAUAAAAUAAUAAUAUAAUAUUAUUUAGUACAAAAUUAAUAUUUUCUUAGAAUAAAGUAUUUAUUAUUAUUAUUAAAUAAAUAUAGUACUANNNNNNNNNNNNNNNNNNNNNNNNNNNNNNNNNNNNNNNNNNNNNNNNNNNNNNNNNNNNNNNNNNNNNNNNNNNNNNNNNNNNNNNNNNNNNNNNNNNNNNNNNNNNNNNNNNNNNNNNNNNNNNNNNNNNNNNNNNNNNNNNNNNNNNNNNNNNNNNNNNNNNNNNNNNNNNNNNNNNNNNNNNNNNNNNNNNNNNNNNNNNNNNNNNNNNNNNNNNNNNNNNNNNNNNNNNNNNNNNNNNNNNNNNNNNNNNNNNNNNNNNNNNNNNNNNNNNNNNNNNNNNNNNNNNNNNNNNNNNNNNNNNNNNNNNNNNNNNNNNNNNNNNNNNNNNAUUAUCAAGAGUUAAAUGCUUUACUCUCACACUUAGGCUUGAUGGCUAAAAGAUAUAAUUGCAAGCCUUUUUUUGAAAAAAUAUACUAUGUUGUAUUAGAUAUUAAAUUUUAUUAUGAAUAUUUUUUAGCUGGAAAAUCAUUGUUUUUUAUAUAAUGAGAAAUAAGCAUGAAUUUAUAUCUAUAGUUAAAUAUAUUCUACCUUAUUUCUAAUCAAAUGAGCUACAACAUUCUUGUUCUCUAAUUUCCUUAAGAUAAUUGAGUUUAUAUGUUCAUAGCUUAUGACUAUUUUUACUUUCGAGCAAAAUAUGUUUAUUUCUAUUAACUUUUGUCUCUGUAUUGCUUGUUAAUUUAUUUUGCAACUGUUGGAAUUUGGCAACCAAUUUCUUUUAUUUGUUUGUAGAUAUGGUUAAUAUGUUUAAAGUGUUUCUUCUACAACGUAUAUACCUAACCCAUCAAAUUCAUCGAAUGAAGAAGCUGUCCGUGAUAAUGCAUGAUCACAAUACUUAUGUUCAUGGAGAAAAAAAUAAUAAUCCUUCUAAAUUUAUUUUUUAGAUUUGGUAAAUUUAGCCCUUAAAUUCAGCUACGAGUAGAAGGAAUUUGAUUGGAUAAUAGCAGUUUUAAAGUAUUUGAGAUUAUUCAAUUAUAAGAAUAAGAUGUCUUGUAAUAAGACGUCUUGUGUAUUGAAGUAGUUGGAUUGUGUAAUAUAUAUUGAUAAUAUUUAAAUGUUAUGAAAGGCCUUGCAAUAUAAAUUGAUUUUUGUUGUUAUUUCUCAUUGCCUUUUAAUUUUAUCAACAAAUCAGUGCGCAACAUGUCAUUUUAUAUUUUUAUUUUUUAAAUAAUAAAUAAAAUAUUGAUACCAUAGUAACAACAAUCACAAACACACUAAUAUAGUAUUGUAAUAUUCUGAUACUACGGUGUCAUGAUUUUGGUGAUACUAUAAUAAUAGUAAUCACUGACACUAUACUUGUGACACCAAAAACAAGUGUCACUAUUUUUCUGACCGUCAGGUUACUGACAUAAUUAGCUAGUGUCACUAAAAGUAAUUACUGACACUAUUCUAAUGUCGGUAAAGACCAUUUCUUUUUUUUUUUUUUUGGUUAAACUUAAAGACCAUUUCUUUAGUAGUGUGAUUUAAUUUUCCCUUAUAAGUUAAUCCAGCGGAGUAAGUUUCCUGUAUUAUAAAUAGAGAAGUCUCUUUUUGUUUUUGGUUACAAAGGGGCUCUCAACAAAGAGCUAAGAAGAAACAAUAGAGAGGUCUCUUAUUGUUUUAAUAACCUCAUCUUCAAUUAUCCAAUAAAACUCCUCUUUUAUAACUCCCUCUCUAAUCUCGCUUAAACGAGUUAUUAAAAAUCUCAUUGAAUUGUUUGGAUUAUAGCAAAAUUCUCCUCAUUGAGUUGUUUGGAUUAGAGCGAGAUCUAAUCACCCUUUGAUUAGAGCCUAAGCUAAUCACAUUGACUUGUUAGCAUGAAUCUCCCGAAGCUCAGCUAGUAAGAUGCGUCUAUUUAUGAAGAGAACACUUGAAUAAACAAAUGACAAGCAGCACCAACAAUUUUCAAGCUGAACCUUUUCUGUCACCGGUUGAGCAGUACAGGAGAGAACACUGUCAUUAGCAAUAGAUUCAUCCAUUAAAGCCCAAAGUUUUGAAGUAGGAUUACCAGUGACCGCUAGUGAAGAAAGAUGAAUACGAUGCCGAAACCACUUGGGAUUGAAUUAAAAAUCCACCCUCGGUUCCGCAAUACCAGCAAAUGAAGGAUUAUGAAUAAAACGAACAUUGGCUAAUUCAUUGAGGACGCAGGAUGUCCUCAAUGGCUUUUCUGUAGCCCUUAAACGCCUUUUCUGAGAUUUGACAUUACAAUCUUGAAUCCAUCAGUUAUGGCUCUAAUAAAGAGUUUUGAGUAAGAGAAGGGUCUUCUCUUGAUUUUAACUCACCUGAGCUUUUAAAGGUUUUGUGCCACCUGCUGAAUUAUUUUUUUGGGGCCUUUUUUCCAUGACUAGUAGCAUUACUCUUGUUCAAGCUUUUAAUCCUAUUUACAAAGCCAAUAGGCCCCGGCUUUUUUCAAGAAGAACACUUUCUAAAUAGUAUGAUAGGUGGCAUUUAUUUGUAGAUAUAUAUAUAUAUACACGUAUAUAUGUAUAUAGAGUUUUCACAUUAUUGGGAAAUUUUAAAUUCGCGUGAAAGUUUGAGGACAUCUGCACCUAAAAGUGUGUGUGUGUGUGUGUGUGUAUACUCUCCCGUGACAUCAGAAUGAAAUAAAGUAAAAUUCGGCAUUUCAUAACUGUUAAUAUAUUUUUAACCAUUAUUUGUUCAGUUAACAAUAGCAUGGAUCAUGUUCAGUUUACAAUAGCAUGGAUCGUAUCCUGUUAAUGCGAAUUCGUGAUUUAUUCGUUCAUCUAAUUAAAAAUAAGAUUUCCUUUUUGAGAAGUACAAAAUUAAAAUAUUAUUUGGAAAUUGAAACAUUAUUAUUAUUUUUCUUUUCUAACAGUUACCAUUGACUUAAAUAAAAAGAAUAGUGUUAUUAUUAAAUAAAUGGGAAUAAUAUCACCGGCAAUGUCAUAAAUACGAAAUUUGAUUACAUAAAUACUAGAAUCACUUGAAGUGAUUAAAAGAUAUUGUAUUUCUUUGAUAAUUAAUAUAAAGGAUAUUGAUAACACUAUGAAAUGAGAGUUAUCAUGUCACUUUUAGAUUUAAAUCAAGAUUACUUAGAGAGUAAAUGACAUGUUUUUAUUGCAUUUUAGUUAUAUUUUGCAUGAAUAUCCAUUUUAGUUUAUUUUUAAUAAAUUGUGUUGUUUUAGAAUAAUUUGUGUGCUUAGAUCUUAUGCAUAAUUGUAGGUGACUGGAAGCUCAAAUUUCAAGGGAGGAAAUUUUAUUCAUAGCAUAUUAGUAGUAUUUACCAUGCAUUUAAACUCUUAAAACUUAAAGGUUAGUUUUGUAAAUUUAAAGGUUAGCCAGCCCCAAAACAUGUACAUGCAAUAUUCAAAUUGCAAGCCAAGUAAUAUAACCUGGCAAUUUAUUUUAUUAUAUUGGUCAAAUAAUUUUUAAGGAAUAUAGUUAUUCAUAUAUUUAGUCAAAUAUGGUCAUAAUAAAAAUAAUAAAGGAAUGAAUAUAAAUCAUAUUUAAUUUAUAUGUUAUUAUCUAAUGUUGUAGGAAUGAGGGUACGUGUAUCGUGGAUAUUAGAAUGAUGAAGGAGACAAUAUAAUAUUAGAUUGAUCUUACUCCUGCAAUUACUUCUGAAUGAUAUUUUAUUAUCUUUCUUAUUGGUUGUUUUGGUAUAAAAGUAUAAGCUACAAUAUUUAUUAUACUUUUGAGAAAAAUUAUAUAAUUUAUUUGUUAUCAAUACAUUUUAGCCUUCAAUUUUCAAUCUAAAAAAUUAUUACUUUUUUAUUACUGAAUUUUAGAAUUCAUGACGGAUCUAGAGCAGAUUUGGAUUUUAAUUUUUUUUCGGAUUUGGAGCAGAUAUAGAUAUUUAUUUCUUUUUUGGAUCUGGAUAUGGAGCGAAAAAUAUGGAUUCAUGACGGAUCUGGAGCAGAUACGGAUCUUGAUUUUUAUUAUGGAUUUGGAUCUGGAGCAGAGUAGAUCCAACCCAUAUCUGCCCCAUUGCCAUCCCUAGGAGGAAUGCUGUUGCAAUAGGCAUGCAAAGAUAAGGAUAAAACAUGGUUAUAGAAGAAUUGAAACAAGUCUGAAACAAUGUAGGUGUUGAAGCCAUUAUUGUAGCACUGUUGCUAUAGCUUUGUUGUUGUAGCAAUUCUGGAGUAUUAACAGAGAAGAUUUUGCAUGAGAUACUUAGAAGAUUGUAAUCUGGAGUUUCCUAAAAUGGAAGACACGCAUAUGUCAGUCAAAAUCAGUCCUUCUUGUUCUUUUCUUUUUUUCAAUUUAUUCAUGGGGAUGUAUUUGAUGGCUAAACCUCUUUUAUUUAUUUUUCUUUUGCAAAUCAUGAACUGAAUUUUAUUGUGGUUGAGUGAUAAAUGAUCUUAAUGGAUGUUUGACUGACAUAUGCGUGUUACUCUGUGUUUGUUGCAACAGUUUGUCUUAUUUGUAUUUAUUUUAAUUCCCUAUUUCGGUUGAUCACCCAUUUAGUGGAUACUAGCUUAGAAGGAGCCUAAAAAAUGUAUGAUUUAGUGGAACAAAUUAAGAUAAUACUUGAUUUUAUAUUGGGUUUUCCAAGUUGAGUUAAUCUCGAUUUGAAACGGGUCAUGCUUGAUCUAAGAUUAGUGAAGAGCUAGACAUAGAGAUUCUCCUUACAGGGUAAUUGGAACCUAGAACGCAUAAUGCUAUAUCUAAUGGGAGGCAAUAAAUGUCGAUUCCUCCUUGCAAUGGGAAUUUCGAUUGCAUAUAAGAUAUCCAACAGGCGACAACUGAAGAUGCAUGAGGGAUUCUGCCCAGUGCUGUAGUAAAUGUUGUAGCAGCAAUUUCUUAAUUAGAAAAAUAAUCAAAACCAUUAAGUGAGUUUAAUCACUCAACUACUCCUUUCUUAUUGAUUGCAUCUUCGUGUUAGAUUUAAGAUGCAUUUUUAAUUUAGUUAGCUUAUUAGUUUCUUUGAUUAUUUUAUUUUAAUUUAAUGUAAACUGCCUUGUCUGAAUUGUUGUAGCAAAUCCGAUAACAUCAAUCCCUACAGAGACGAUCUUGAAUACUCAUCAUUAUAUUACUUGUUGUGUACACUUGCACUUUAACACCCAUAGCAUUAGAAUUUACACACCAAAUAUCAAAUCUGAAUGAAUCAAAGCUCCCCCGUUAUUCUCACAAUUGAACCAUAGGCGUUAAUCCGUUUCCACUAAUCUAAAUUAAACAUCAGUCGUUGAUUUGUCGUCUACUACCCACACACUUGACCCCUUUUUUUUUUUUUUUUUUUUUUUAUGUAAAUGGCUCUAGAAAUUUUAUUGCAUGAUGAAAAAUCUAUAUUUAGGCAAGAAGAGAAAGAAGGAUGUACAAAAAAGACUACCGAAACCUAUAUUUAGGCAACCCCAAAGCAUCUUCAGAAAGACAACUUUUAACAGAGAUUGGCGGAUCGUCCCAAGGAAGCUAAACUAUCUGCUACUGAAUAACCUCCAUGAUGAAUAUGAGAAGAAUAAAAGUGAAUACCACAAAUCACAUUCAUACAGUUGAGCCAUUGGAUUCGCAGUCCCCAAGGCGGCUUAAACCCUUUUUUUGAAAGGCAUGCAAGAGCAGCACUAGAAUCACUUUCAAAUUCUAGACAUGAGUCCACACCUUCACAACAACAAUCUCUAUUGCUUUCACAAUAGCUAAAAUUUUAGCACAUAAAAAAAGAAAGAAAGAAGUCUGAACCCCCGAAGGAAUAGAGAAACCACCAUGAAAAGCCCCAUUGAAGCCACGGAAAACAGCUCCACAAGCCACAGAGCCGGGAUUUCCCUUUGACAUGCCAUCAGUAUUUAUUUUAAUCCAUAAUGGUGUAGUAGAAUUCUGAAAAACGGUGGCAAUAACGAGAAAUUGAACCAUGCACACACAAAAGAGCAUGAAUAGGUAAAGAACAUCAACAAGUGCCAGGGAUGAAUUUCUUGAUAACAUGCAAAUGAGCAAUCACCAAAGUUUGUUCCCGCUACACAGGCCAAGACUCAUUAUCAAAGAGCAGCUUAUUGCGAGACAUCCAAACAUAAUAAAUCAUAGUAAAGGUGGCAGCACGCCAAAGAGCAGCAUCAGAAAUAGCAAUGGAAGGAAAUUUGAUCAAAUCCCGAAGCUGCUGAAUAUCACCAUAACAGGGAACCACCACCUGAAAGCGGCAACAAGCCAACGCCAAAGAUGCUGAGCAUAAGGACAACCGAGGAACAAAUGAGAAGCCAUCUCUGCGUCAUUCUUACAAAGGGGGCAGCAAGAAACAAUGAAAAAAUCACGGCGCCAAAGAUUGUCUUGUGUAUUCAAAUGAUUAUAUAACAAACGCCACAACAAAACUGAGAAGGGCGUUGCCGGGGAGAUAAGUUAUUUCUGCUGUACCGUACCUCCGCCUUGGCCGUACAGCAGUUUAUUUUGUCUUUUAGCUAAUCCCUAACUUUAAUAAAGUCAGGGAUCCCUCAUUGGAAAAUUACUAUAUAUAUAUAUAUAGUCAUUCUCUAUUGAGGGCAUCCUGCACACUAAAAUACAAAAAAAAAAUAUAAAUUUUAUUACAUUGGGAAUCUGCUGUACGGCCAAGGCGGAUGUACGGUACAGCAGUGAUGAAAAUCCUCAAAAUAAGCCGCAGCAUCUUGUAAAUGGAGCUCAGCACUCACAGAGUGGCCACAAUUUCAUGAAUAAGUUGAGGGAACAUCUCACGAAACAUAGAAGGGAUCUAUCAUUUGCCAUUCUAAAUUAAAGAACUCACUGGCGCACACAAAUUUAAAUUAUCAAUGCCGAUAAAUUAAAGAAAAUGAAUUAAGGAGUGAGUAAAUUGGAGAGAAAAAAAUCUAAGCCCAAAAAUCAAUAUUAUUAAUUAUUUAUAAAUAUAGUCAAUAUAAUUAAUUAGAUCUAAUCCUAUCCAUUGAUUAAUUAUAUAUCCAGAGGUCAGAAAAUAGUGUAAACGUAAGUGUAAUUUAAGGAUGUUGAAUCAUAAACUUGAUCUGAGAUAAAAAUUUUCAAAACCCAAAUUAAUAACCCUAAUCCAUGGAAGGUUCCAUGAGUAGGUAUGGACUGUCAGCCACUUGAAUUUAUAUAUUUAUUAUAAACAUUACAAUUAUUGCCAAUAAACUGUUAUUGCACAGAAAAUAAAGGAGAAUAUAUAUAUAUAUAUAGGGAAAUUUUCCAAUCCACGAUUUUAAAGUACAAGAAAGUUUUAAAAUUAAUAUUGUGCGAUUUCAAAGUUUAAUUUCAUAAUGCUAUUAAACAUCACGGUUUUAAAGUUUUCCCGAUUUUUCCUACACUUUAAAAUCUGUGUGUGUGUGUGUGUGUGUGUGUUGUAUGUCUGUCUGUCUGUAUGUAUGUAUAUUAGAAAUGUUCUAAUUUAGGAUCCUGAAUUUUGUUAAAGUUGGGUAAAACUAUUAAGACAUAUGAUUUAAUAGUAUAAUGAUUAUUUGCUUGUGGGCGUCAUGCAGAUUCAGGAUCUAACAAUGGCGCGAAGGCCUUUUCAACCAUUAUGAAGUCUCAAAUCUGCACAAAUUAUUAUGCCGAUGUCUGGCCUCUCUCUCUCUCUCAUUUGAGCUUUCACAGCUUUUUAAAAAACUUUUACAUCAUUAUGAAGUACCAAAUCCGUAAGAAAAUUCGUGCAGGCAUCUGCACUUGAGAGUUUUCCUAUAUAGAGCAAUUUUAAAAUAAAAUAAAAAAAUCUUACCAUGUUAAAAGUAAGGAAUAAGGUAAAAGAAAAAAAAUACAAAUUUUAAUAUACUGUAGGGACAAAAUGCACUCUAUUGUAUUGAAAUUUGUGCUUUUUAAUUUUUUAGCUUAUCCCUUACUCUAAUAUGGUAACAAAUUCACUUAUCUUUCAUAUAUGUACACACAUAUAUAUAUAUUACAGCACCUAAUACUAGAAUCACCUAAAACUGUUAUUGCCCGCAAAUUAAAGGAAUAUAUUUGUCGUGUCAAAGCAAAUACAAACAAAUUACUGUAGCCAUCAUGUGAGCCAUUGAAAAUUGUUUCUGAAAACAGCCACAUUUUGGCAGUUCAGGCCAUAUUUUCAAAAUUAAAUUAAUAACUUUUAAAAAAAAAAGACUGUUAUUGCUAAUAGUUUGUCUUGGAAUUACCCACGCCCCAACCACCCACCUUGGCACUCUCGUUUACUUCAUUCUCUAUGUAUACCCCCCAUGCGUAUCAUAUCAAACCAGAAUCAAGAACUCGCAAAAGCAACUUCAUUACUUUGUAAUUUUGAUUCCGAAGUGAAUAUCAUUUCAGUUGAAGAUUAUGGAAACUACCUGCGCAGAUUUUUAGGCUAAUUUCAGUUUAAUAUCAUUUAUAAUUCUUAUUUUAAUAUAUUUAUGAUUAAUUUUUCUGUUAUGAAAUUUUUAGGUAAUAACGAUUGGUCGGAGAUUAUCAUCUUUAUACUAUUUCCUCUUCUCAGUACCGCUGAUGAUGACAAUGUGAAUGACAAUCUUGAUCUUCUUGUUGUCCCUCAAUAUGGGAGAAACCCUAACUACACUGGUUAAUUACACUGGUACUCUUUUGUGUUAUGUUCAAUUGAAUAAAGUGAUGGGUACUUUUACCUAUUGUUCUGUCAAUUAUGUGACUGUCGGUUUGGUUCAUUUCAACUGAUAAAAUCUCUUGAGAUAUAUAAGCGAUUUUAUAUGUUUAUUUACAUGUAUCGUGUAUUCCUGAAAAAGGAAAUAAAUAAAUAAAUAUUGUUGCU
rnacentral:lncRNA from 1 species